rnacentral:rRNA from 1 species
CGCUUGGUGUUAAUAAACUAAGUUUUUCCUGCUCGGUGUUCUAUCAACAGCAGCGGUACAUUAACCGUUCGAAGGUAGCAUAAUAAGCUUUUUAAUUGGAAGCGUUGCCAACGGAAUAAUGGGUUUAAAAAUAUCAUAAGAAAAUUUAAUUAAAAUUAUUUUUUUAGGUAAAAAUUCCUAUAAAAUUUUAAAAGACGAUAAGACCCUAGAAUUUACUUUUUUCGUUUAGGUGGGGAAUCUUAGGUAAAAACAACUUAACUCUUUAAAUACUCUAGGGAUAACAGCCUUAUUAAAGAGUAGCUCUUUAGAUUGGGACCUCGAUGUUGAAUUAGGUUACAAAUGUCUCCAGAAGAGACUUUUUAGGGUCUGUUCGACCCAUAAAUACCU